rnacentral:rRNA from 1 species
UACGUAGGCAGCGAGCGUUGUUCGGAGUUACUGGGCGUAAAGGGUGUGUAGGCGGUUAUUUAAGUUUGGUGUGAAAUCUCCCGGCUCAACCGGGAGGGUGCGCCGAAUACUGAAUGACUUGGAGUGCGGGAGAGGUGAGUGGAAUUCCUGGUGUAGCGGUGAAAUGCGUAGAUAUCAGGAGGAACACCGGUGGUGUAGACGGCUCUCUGGACCGUAACUGACGCUGAGACACGAAAGCGUGGGUAGCAAACAGG